rnacentral:rRNA from 1 species
AGUGAACGCUGGCGGUAGGCCUAACACAUGCAAGUCGAACGGCAGCACAGUAAGAGCUUGCUCUUACGGGUGGCGAGUGGCGGACGGGAGAGGAAUACAUCGGAAUCUACUUUUUCGUGGGGGAUAACGUAGGGAAACUUAAGCUAAUACCGCAUACGACCUACGGGUGAAAGCGUGGGAUCUUCGGACCUUGCGCGAUUGAAUGAGCCGAUGUCGGAUUAGCUAGUUGGCGGGGUAAAGGCCCACCAAGGCGACGAUCCGUAGCUGGUCUGAGAGGAUGAUCAGCCACACUGGAACUGAGACACGGUCCAGACUCCUACGGGAGGCAGCAGUGGGGAAUAUUGGACAAUGGGCGCAAGCCUGAUCCAGCCAUACCGCGUGGGUGAAGAAGGCCUUCGGGUUGUAAAGCCCUUUUGUUGGGAAAGAAAAGCAGCAGGUUAAUACCCCGCUGUUCUGACGGUACCCAAAGAAUAAGCACCGGCUAACUUCGUG